GAUCCUGGCUCAGGAUGAACGCUGGCGGCGUGCCUAACACAUGCAAGUCGAACGAGGUAAAUAAGUUGAAGUUUUCGGAUGGAUUCUUAUUUGCCGAGUGGCGGACGGGUGAGUAACGCGUGGGUAACCUGCCUCAUACAGGGGGAUAACGGUUAGAAAUGACUGCUAAUACCGCAUAAGCGCACAGUACCGCAUGGUACAGUGUGAAAAACUCCGGUGGUAUGAGAUGGACCCGCGUCUGAUUAG
rnacentral:rRNA from 1 species